ACUCCUACGGGAGGCAGCAGUGGGGAAUUUUGGACAAUGGGCGCAAGCCUGAUCCAGCAAUGCCGCGUGAGUGAAGAAGGCCUCGGUUGUAAGACUCUUUGUUCAGGGAAGAAACGGUAGGGAGGCUAAUAUCUCCUGCUAAUGACGGUACCUGAAGAAUAAGCACCGGCUAACUACGUGCCAGCAGCCGCGGUAAUACGUAGGUGCAAGCGUAAUCGGAAUUACUGGGCGUAAAGCGUGCGCAGGCGGUUUUGUAAGUCUGAUGUGAAAUCCCCGGGGCUCAACCUGGGAAUUGCAUUGGAGACUGCAAGGCUAGAAUCUGGCAGAGGGGGUAGGAAUUCCACGUGUAGCAGUGAAAUGCGUAGAUAUGUGGAGGAACACCGAUGGCGAAGGCAGCCCCCUGGGUCAAGAUUGACGCUCAUGCACGAAAGCGUGGGGAGCAAACAGGAUUAGAUACCCUGGUAGGAUAGCG
rnacentral:rRNA from 1 species